rnacentral:rRNA from 1 species
UACGUAGGGGGCAAGCGUUGUCCGGAAUCAUUGGGCGUAAAGAGCGUGUAGGCGGCUCGGUAAGUCCGCUGUAAAAGUCCAGGGCUCAACCCUGGAAAGCCGGUGGAAACUGUCGAGCUAGAGUCCGGAAGAGGAGAAUGGAAUUCCCGGUGUAGCGGUGAAAUGCGCAGAUAUCGGGAGGAACACCGGUGGCGAAGGCGGUUCUCUGGGCCUUACCUGACGCUGAGGAGCGAAAGCGUGGGGAGCGAACAGG